GACGAACGCUGGCGGCGUGCUUAACACAUGCAAGUCGAACGGAAAGGCCCUGCUUGCAGGGUGCUCGAGUGGCGAACGGGUGAGUAACACGUGGGUGAUCUGCCCCUUACUUUGGGAUAAGCCUGGGAAACUGGGUCUAAUACUGGAUAGGACCAUGCUGUAGGUGGUGUGGUGGAAAGAUUAGUUUCGGUAAGGGAUGAGCUCGCGGCCUAUCAGCUUGUUGGUGGGGUAAUGGCCUACCAAGGCGUCGACGGGUAGCCGGCCUGAGAGGGUGGACGGCCACAUUGGGACUGAGAUACGGCCCAGACGCCUACGGGAGGCAGCAAUAGGGAAUAUUGCACAAUGGGCGCAAGCCUGAUGCAGCGACGCCGCGUGGGGGAUGACGGCCUUCGGGUUGUAAACUCCUUUCAGCCAUGACGAAGCCCUUGUGGUGACGGUAGUGGUAGAAGAAGCACCGGCUAACUACGUG
rnacentral:rRNA from 1 species